rnacentral:rRNA from 1 species
GUGGGGAAUCUUAGACAAUGGGGGAAACCCUGAUCUAGCCAUGCCGCGUGAGCGAUGAAGGCCUUAGGGUUGUAAAGCUCUUUCAGCUGGGAAGAUAAUGACGGUACCAGCAGAAGAAGCCCCGGCUAACUCCGUGCCAGCAGCCGCGGUAAUACGGAGGGGGCUAGCGUUGUUCGGAAUUACUGGGCGUAAAGCGCGCGUAGGCGGACCAGAAAGUUGGAGGUGAAAUCCCAGGGCUCAACCUUGGAACUGCCUUCAAAACUCCUGGUCUGGAGUUCGAGAGAGGUGAGUGGAAUUCCGAGUGUAGAGGUGAAAUUCGUAGAUAUUCGGAGGAACACCAGUGGCGAAGGCGGCUCACUGGCUCGAUACUGACGCUGAGGUGCGAAAGCGUGGGGAGCAAACAGGAUUAGAAACCCUAGUAGUCC